UCUCUCUCUCUUCACCACCAUAAGCAUCUCUCAGGCAACAACUCGUCUUCUUCUUUACAGUACUCCUGAUUUUUACAAUUUCACUUUUGAAAAAAAAAUCCCUAAUCCCCAAAUUCUAGGGUUUUCAUCUCCAUCCCCGAAAACACAAGAAAUACCAAAUUCAAAUGUCUUUUUUCUCUCUCUUUUCUCGCAAUCUGCAACUUUAAACAUUCAACGUGAUAUGAUGAUUUUGGGGUUGGUAUGACAGAGUUACGAAUCACAGCGUCAUUAAUGGAGGUUCAAGCUCUCAACUUACGAAUGGAUUAUUCAAAGAUGGAUUUACUCGCUUGUCGACUCGGCGUUUGCGAAGCAUUUUCUGAAACGAAGUUGCUUUUGAUUCCUGUUAAGUUCUUUGAUCCAUCGAUUUUAGUUUUGUGCUCUUUUCAAUCUCUUCAUGUCGAUUUGCUUUUUCUUGUCAUAAUUGAUGGAUUCGAUUAAGUCUUGUUUGAAAACUGUUAUAUGAUUUGAUGUUCAUAGACUUUGAACAUAGUCAAAAUAUAACUAUGACAGCAACAAAAACUCCAGUUCAUAUUGCUACGUAAUUGUUAGAAAAUAGAAUCAAAGUUUGCAAACUUUAAUCAUAAAAUUGAAAUCUAACAUCUAGAAUGGGGGAUUACUAUAUUAUGAUAUUCAGAAAAAGUUGUUGAGUUUGUUAACAGAUUAAUGGUUCAUCAAAACUGCCUCUAGGAUCUUAAAAGAUGAUUUAUGAUCAUAUAUUUAGAGAUGUCCCUAUUUAGAUUGAGUGAAGAGAAAAUUUUGGAAACGACCCAGUUAUAGAUGACAUAUUUUUUAGAAAUUGACGAUUAAAGUUUUGUUGUUUUGGUAUCAAUGUAGGAAAAGACUAUUUCAUUUGGGCUGGUCCUACACCAAUGGUAAACAUCUCAAAGCCUGAGUUAAGUAGAGAGGCCUUAACAGAUAUACAAGACAUUCUGAAACCGCGGUGGAACCCAAUUGUCGCGAAGCUAUUUUUGGGGUUUGUCAACUAUGAAGGAGAAAAAUGGGCUAAACAUCGUAAAAUGAUAAACCCUGCCUUUCAUAUGGAGAAGUUGAAGGAGAAGAUUGCUGCUGAACAUGUUGCCGAGCUAGACAUGUGGCCAGACCUUAAUGCACUCUCUGCUGAUGUGAUCUCGAGAGCAGCCUUUGGUAGUAGCUAUGAAGAAGGACAAAGAAUUUUCGAACUUCUUAAGGAGUAGACAAGGAUGGCUCUUGCUAUGCUGCAAGCAGUAUACAUUCUAGGACUCCGGUAGGCAACCACGAGCACGAGAAGAAGUUUUGCAGACAUUUCAGAACAGUGUACCAGACUUUGAAGGUCUAAGCCAUUUGAAGACAUUCUGGAUCCCAGAUUACUUCAUAAUUCACAUAUUACUUCUUUGCAAAUCUUACAAAUGAGCAAGUGAAGAAGUUGUCAGGUGUGGAUGAUGUGAAACAAGUUAGUCCAGUGCAAAUAUAUGACACUCCAGAAUCCAUAGCAGCAGCUAUGAGAUUUCACUCGUAAGCUAGCUGACAGUAUGAAUCAAUCUAUGCUGUUAGAGUGGCAUGUCUGUGUUUUGAUUUGAAUUCUUUGAUUAUUUUUUUUUGGUGAAAAGAUUUUUGGUAUUUGACUAUGAUGGUUUCUCUUGUUUUUUAAAGGAAGUCUGUAGGUUUCUUUAUUGAAAGAAAAUUUUGUAGGUUCAUUACUGUUGAAUUUCGAGAUUGGGUUGCUUUUUGAGUGAAUUGUGUCCUGAACUUGCAUUAAUUCUAGUAGAAGAGAAAGAAGAGUUUGGGUAAGUUUUGGACGAAAUAAGUGAAGUGUGGGUAAGGGGUAAUUGUAAUUAGGAGAUUCAAAAGUGAGUAAUCUCAAUUGUUCAUAAAAGUAACUGCAUUUAUUCAAUCAAGUAAUCCUUUUCAUUCGUAAGAGUAGAUUGUUAAGUUUCUCAUUUUCUCGAUUAGUCAAACAAGUAAUGUCGUUUAAUCUAUGAGUAGUCUCGUUUAAUCUUACAAAUAACCCAUUAAUUCGCAAUAGUAACCUUAUUUAUUUAUAGGAGUAACCUCAUUUUGAUCAUACGAGUAACCUCACUUGUUCACAAAAGUAACCGUAUUUUAUCAAACGAGUAUCCAUUAUUAGUAAGGGUGAAUUGAUUAGUUUUCC